CGUAAUGAGUUAAGAGUCUUGAGAUAAAAUCAUUCUGGAUUUAGAGUGGGCUCUGGUGUCCUUGUUAAGAGGAAGAGAGGACACAACGAGGCACAGAGGAGAACACCACGCGGCAAGGGAGGCAGAGGUGACAGUGAGGCACCUGUGAGCCCAGGAAUGCCACUCUUGCCGACGGCCCCUGCAAGCUAGGAGAGAGGCCUGGCUGGCUUCCCUCAGGGUCUCCGGAAGUAAGUAGCCCCACCGACACCUUCAUUUUGGACUUUUGGUCUCCAGAACUGUGGGAGAGUAAGUUUCUGUUGACUUAAGCUCCCCAGUUUGGGGUGAUUUGUUACGGCAGCCCUGGGAGACUAUACGCCACGUCCCUGAGGUCCUCAGCUUUCCACGGUGCCCCCCCCCUCCACAAACAGACCUGUGCUUGAAAGCUCCCGGGACGGAGAGCUCACGACGUCCCAUCUAUGUGAUGGACUGCUUGUUGGAAACUCCUUUCUGGCGUUGUGGGAUCCGGGGAGGCUUCAUGGAAGAGGCAGCACGUGAACUGGGCCUUAAAGGAUGACUAUGAUCAAAACAAGGGGAAACAUGCGGUGGCGCGUGUUCCAGGUGGCGGGGACGCGGCAGGCCCAGGAGUAUGGGCCGUAUAUGCAAACAUUCACUCAAACUCUUCUAGGAAUAUUUACUCGCUAAGCAGCUAGUGGAAUGGAGGAUCCUGAGAAAGAAGAGAUUAACUAUGACACCGAGUGACCCGAGAAAGUCCCUGGGUCAGGGUCCCCAGGACCACUCCUGGUGUGAUUUGCUAGGAGGACUCACAGCUAAGACCCGUCACGGUGCAAAGAUACAGAGCAACAUCGGCGCAGGACAAAGGCUAUGGGAAACCAAGCAAAAGCUUCCCAGGGUCCUCGUCCCGCUGAGUCACACAGGACACGCUUAACUCCUCCAGCGACGUGUCACGACAGCGUGUGUGAAACAUCGUCUGCUAGAGAAGCUCAUUAGAGACCCAGAGCCCAGGGUGUUUCCUGGGGGCUGGUCACAUAGGUAACCCCUGCCUAGAUGUACCAGAUUCUCCGCAGGAGAGCAGGGCUUUCGCAUCAGCCAUGUUGUUUGCGCAAACGAUUUAGGCGCAGCCAGCCCUUCUCAGAGAAUCGUGGGAGCAUUCCCAAAAUCCAAGUUCCCAGACCCCAGCCAAGGGCCAGCCUCGUGAGCAGGCCUUUCAAAGGAUGGCAGUCUCGGGCCUGCUGCGCUAACCCUGUUCCACACACUUGCCAAAGAAGGUGGGAUUUGACCUGGGGGAGUCAAGGAGCCACAAGAGAGGAGGAAACCCUGCCAGGUUGACCCCACCUACCUCUCCAGCCUUCCUCUGAACCUUUGCCUGAGCCCCGGUCAUCCUACACAGAUCUGAGCAGUGGCGACCCCCUUUGUACAGGCAUGCGCCUGCCGCGACGCUAUUGUCACACAGGCCCUGUCACCCUCUCACUGAGUCUGCAACCCCGGGACAGCACCUUCCUGCACCGCAAGAAUCACAUUCCGACUGUAUUCUUGUGUACGAGACUGCCUUCUCAGCUUACUUCUCUCUGUUUCUUCUUUCCCAUCCCUCCCCGCUCCCCCUCUCCACGCUGUGAUAAACAGAGAGCCUUGCAAGCAGGGGUGGGGGCGGCGGGGGUGGGGGGCGCUGAUAAACUCAGCUGCGUGGACUUCCCAUCUCCAUGGGUCAAGGAUGGUGAGGCUCUGGGGCAGGAAUAGACCAGAUGAGCUCCGACAUAUCCCGGGGAUUGACUGCAGGAUUCUCUGAGCUGGAGAAACUCAAAUUCAACGCGGCCACUGAAAUCCCGAGCAAGAAUCACAAGACUGGGAGAUGUUGUCAUCUUACAGAUGGGGAAACUGAGGCUCAAAGGGAGGUGCUGGGAGGCAGAGCCAGGCAACAUCCACGUGGCCUCACUUCUUCCGGACUUCUUCCCUGACACCCACGCUGCCACCCAUAUUCACCCAGGACACGGCUUGUUACAGUGACAUGUGGGGGCUGUCAGCCGGGCCUGGGGUGACAUCGUGACCCCAUACACCAGGGUCACUCCCCAGAGGGGUAGUUGUUUGCUGUAUAACAUGGGGGUGGGUGUGUAACAAUAUCUACCUCUCAGGGUCGUGGGCAGGAUUAGACAUGAUGGAAAAAGCAUGUUGAUGGGAACAUAGAAACAUUUGUGUUUUUUUCUCCUCUCCACCUGUUUUGCUCAAAAUAAAUUAAAAAAAUUUUUAAAGUUA